GUCGAACGGAAUCCUUUCGAGGAUUUAGUGGCGGACGGGUGAGUAACGCGUGAGAAUCUGCCUUUAGGACGGGAACAACAACUGGAAACGGUUGCUAAAGCCCGAUGUGCCCUUCGGGGUGAAAAUAUUUAUAGCCUGAAGAUGAGCUCGCGUCAGAUUAGCUAGUUGGUUGGGUAAUGGCCGACCAAGGCGACGAUCUGUAACUGGUCUGAGAGGAUGACCAGUCACACUGGGACUGAGACACGGCCCAGACUCCUACGGGAGGCAGCAGUGGGGAAUUUUCCGCAAUGGGCGAAAGCCUGACGGAGCAAUACCGCGUGAGGGAGGAAGGCUCUUGGGUCGUAAACCUCUUUUAUCAGGGAAGAAGACAGUGACGGUACCUGAUGAAUCAGCAUCGGCUAACUCCGUGCCANCAGCCGCGGUAAUACGGAGGAUGCAAGCGUUAUCCGGAAUUAUUGGGCGUAAAGCGUCCGCAGGUGGUUUUGAAAGU
rnacentral:rRNA from 1 species